rnacentral:rRNA from 1 species
AUUGAACGCUGGCGGCAGGCCUAACACAUGCAAGUCGAGCGCGGGGCGGACGGGUGAGAAAUGGAUGGGGACUGCCCGAUAGAGGGGGAUAACGGCAGGAAACGGUAGUUACUACCACGUACUAUCGGAUAACGCAUGUGGGAUUAGCUAGUGGGUGAGGUAAUGGCGCACCUAGGCGACGAUCCCUAGCUGGUCUGAGAGGAUGAUCAGCCACACUGGGACUGAGACACGGCCCAGACUCCUACGGAGGCAGCAGUGGGGAAUAUUGCACAAUGGGCGAAAGCCUGAUGCAGCCAUGCCGCGUGUAUGAAGAAGGCCCUAGGGUUGUAAAGUACUUUCAGUCGGGAGGCGUUACCGACAGAAGAAGCACCGGCUAACUCCGUGCCAGCAGCCGCGGUAAUAC